CCUACGGGUGGCAGCAGUGAGGAAUAUUGGUCAAUGGGAGAGAUCCUGAACCAGCCAAGCCGCGUGAGGGAAGACGGCCCUAUGGGUUGUAAACCUCUUUUGUACGAGGGUAAACGCAGAUACGUGUAUCUGUCUGAAAGUCUCGUUCGAAUAAGGAACGGCUAACUCCGUGCCAGCAGCCGCGGUCAUACGGAGGGGCCGAGCAUUAUCCGGAGUGACUGGGGGUAAAGAGUGGGGUAGGUGGGAUAAUAAGUAGCUAGUGAAACCUGGUGGCUCAACCAUUCAGACUAUUAGCUAAACUGUUAGGCUGGAGACCGUUAGGGGUAAGUGGAAUGUCUGGUGUAGGAGUGAAAUCCGUAGAUAUUAGAAGGAACACCAGUGGCGUAGGCAGGUUACUGGGACGGUUCUGACGCUGAGGCACGAAAGCGUAGGGAGCAAACAGGAUUAGAUACCCGUGUAGUC
rnacentral:rRNA from 1 species